GGCGCGAUGGCCGAGUGGUUAAGGCGACAGAUUAGAAUUGGUUGAAGUGUCUUUGUGCCAUCUGUUCCGGUUUCCGGGCGCAGGUUCAAAUCCUGCUCGUGUCG